CUGUCUCCGGUACGAGUCUCUCCGUUGAUAGACGCCGUAGGGGAAGUAUCGUCCCGAGGAGUAGCGUCGCGGUGCCUCGACUGCGUGGAAAGAGUGUAGCCGGCGUUGCUCGAAGGUCAUUAUCGAACCAAAGCGGCACGCCGAAGAUGUCGGAGGGGAACGUGAAACCAGAGCCGCAGGCCAACACCCCGGCGAAGGCGGCUAACGAAAAUGCCCAGGAACGUGCACCUGGAGGAGGCGGCGGUGGCGGAGGUGGAGGCGGCGGCGGCGGCGGCGGAGGAAAUGUCGGCGGAGGACCCGGAGGUGGCGGCGGCGGCGGUGGCCGCGGAGGCGGAGGUCGUGGCCGAAAAGGAGGUUCGCGAUUUUCCGGAGGCCGAGGAGGCGGCCCCGGAGGCGGUGGAAGACCCAACGAAGCCAUGAUGAAAAUGAAUGACACGAUGGAGGGGAAUAUGGAUAGUUUAUUGUCCGAGGGUAUGGGUAUGACUGGAGGUAUGAUGGGCAUGGGUCGUGGAUCCAUGCGUGGCGGUAGAGGUGGCCGAGGCGGAGACAGAGGAGGCAUGACAAAUCGUUCACAAGAUGAACGAUUAAUGGAGAGGAUAAUGUCCAUCAGUGGACCUACACAUGAACUACCACCGCAAGAUACCACAGAAAAGAAAUUUAGUGGCCGUAAUCGGUUGUAUGUUGGAAAUCUGACAAAUGAUGUUACAGAACAAGAAAUUCAGCAAAUGUUUGCGCCAUAUGGAGAGGUUUCUGAAAUGUUUGUCAACAAAGAAAAGAAUUUUGCAUUCCUUCGCAUGGAUUAUCGAGUAAAUGCUGAGAAAGCAAAACAUGAACUAGAUGGUACGAUGCGUAAAGGACGUGCUAUCAAAGUUCGAUUUGCACCUCACUCAUCAACCAUUAAAGUGAAAAAUCUUACGCCAUGGAUUUCCAAUGAACUACUAGAACGAGCUUUCAGUGUAUUUGGAGAAAUUGAACGAGCUAUUGUUAUUGUGGAUGAACGUGGAAAAACUUCGGGUGAAGGAAUAGUCGAGUUUUGUAGAAAACCUUGUGCUCAGCUGGCUUUGAGGAAGUGCACGGAUGGCUGUUAUUUUCUCACAGCUUCUCUACGUCCAGUCGUCGUGGAGCCAUUCGAACAGCAAGAUGAUGUGGAUGGAUACCCAGAAAAGAAUUUACCCCGUAAAAAUCCAGAAUUUUUCAAAUCUCGUGAUGUUGGUCCUCGAUUUGCCCAAAUUGGUAGUUUUGAGCAUGAAUACGGAACCAGAUGGAAACAGCUUCAUGAAUUAUAUAAACAAAAAGAGGAAGCUUUAAAAAGAGAAAUGGCAAUGGAAGAAGAAAAGCUUGAGGCACAGAUGGAAUUUGCGAGAUAUGAGCAUGAGACUGAACUUCUUCGAGAACAAUUAAGAAUACGCGAAGCCGAUCGUGAGAGGCAGAAGAGAGAAUGGGAACUCAAGGAGCGACAAGCUGAAGAGCAGCGAACUCGUGAAGAAGAAUUACGGAGAAGACAGCAAGAAGAGAUGGCUAUUCGAAUUAGAAGGCAGGAAGAAGAACUACAUAGACGCCAACAGGAAAAUAAUAUGUUUAUGCAGGAGCAAGCAAUGCGAGGAGGUAGUGGUAGUGGAAAGAAUUACGAUUCCGUCAGUAAUAGUGAUCGAGAUGGAUAUGGUCAAGCUGAUGGUGCGAGCAACUUACCGGUGACGCUGAUAGCAGCUGCUGGUUGACGCACCUGUGAAUUUCACUUUCAGAUUGAAAAUCCCCUGACGGUUUAUUGAUGAUCGUGAACGUCAAUUUUGCAGCUCCUACUUCGUUGAUGAGAAAGGACGGGAGUCGGGUGUCACGCGAGAUGACUUUUCUGUAGGAAACCGAAACAUACUCAACGCUAUAAUUAUACAAAAAAAAAGAAGAGCAAGGACGGGAGUCGGGUGUCACGCGAGAUGACUUUUCUGUAGGAAACCGAAAUACACUCAACGCUAUAAUUAUACCAAAAAAAAAAGAAGAGCAAGGACGGGAGUCAGGUGACACGAGAUGACCUUUCUGUGGGAAACUGAAACUUACUCAACAUUGUAAUUUUACACGAAGGUUGAAUUCCGGGAGUGUGAUGGUGGCAGAAGACAAAGCAAAUCGAAACAACAUUAGUAAAACGUUCCCAGUGAUUUUUUUUUUUUUUCGGGACACUUUUGUGCGUUAUACUACCAAUAUUUAUGCUCUCUGCCGGUGUCGUUAUGGUAACGGCUGAUUCUCUCAAGAUGCGCUGAAAUGAUUAACUAUGUGACAAUGAAAUAAAGAACCCCAUUACCAUGA
rnacentral:misc_RNA from 1 species